UGCGUAGGCGGCUUAGCAAGCCAGAAGUGAAAGGCAUUGGCUCAACCAAUGUAAGCUUUUGGAACUGUUAGGCUUGAGUGCAGGAGAGGAAAGUGGAAUUCCUAGUGUAGCGGUGAAAUGCGUAGAUAUUAGGAGAAACACCAGUGGCGAAGGCGACUUUCUGGACUGUAACUGACGCUGAGGCACGAAAGCGUGGGGAGCGAACA
rnacentral:rRNA from 1 species